rnacentral:rRNA from 1 species
AUUGAACGCUGGCGGCAGGCCUAACACAUGCAAGUCGAACGGAGUGGCGGACGGGUGAGUUAUGUCUGUGAAACUGCCUGAUGGAGGGGGAUAACUACUGGUAACGGUAGCUAAUACCGCAUACUUUCAGAUGAGCCUAGGUCGGAGUAGCUAGUUGGGGGGGUAACGGCCUACAAAGGCGACGAUCCGUAACUGGUCUGAGAGGAUGAUCAGUCACACUGGAACUGAGACACGGUCCAGACUCCUACGGGAGGCAGCAGUGGGGAAUAUUGGACAAUGGGCGAAAGCCUGAUCCAGCCAGGCCGCGUGUGUGAAGAAGGUCUUCGGAUUGUAAAGCACUUUAAGUUGGGAGGCGUUACCAACAGAAUAAGCACCGGCUAACUUCGUGCCAGCCGCCGCGGUAAUAC